GGAUGUGAGGGCGAUCUGGCUGCCACAUCUGCCACUCCAUUGAUCUCCAGGGUUGAUUUGGCUGAUCUGGCUGGCUGGAUGGGUGUCCCCGUCCUCCCUUUCUGCUCCAUGUGAGUCCCUCCCAAAGUUGCGCACUUGGUCAAAGAGGACGACCAUCCCCGAUAGAGGAGGACCGGUCUUCUGUCAAGGGUAUACGAGUAGCUGCGUUCCCUGCUAGAACCUCCAAACAAGUUCUCAAAACAAGCACUCAACACCCGCUAGGCUUAUGUGUCCCUAGUGUGUCCUACUUGCUAUC
rnacentral:snRNA from 1 species